rnacentral:lncRNA from 1 species
UGAAAGGCUAGUAAAGAGCUCACUAACUUGUAGUAUGUCUCUAACUAUCAUUCUCUUACCAGCCGAGCGAGGUCGUUUCCCUCCUCCAGGGUUUCCUUCCACACCCUUCAAAUAAAACACAGAGCAAUUCAACUUUCCUGGUUUCUGAUUUUUCUGUAGUUUAUUUUACCCAAACCUGGAGUGCUGCUGGUGGCAGGGAAUGGCAGUGAAGGUGAGUGCUGACGUGGUGCUCACCUCUCCCUAAGGGAUUUUUUGCCCUGAGACACCAGCCAGUUGCUCAUGUGCUCCGUGGUGACAUGGGGCGGGACCUGGCCUUGACUCUGGAGCAGCAGAUAAUGGACCAUGACCUUCUUCUGCAAGAUGAGGCCUGCAGAGUCUGAAAAUAAAGGCUGCUUCUACAGAAUUCCUUUGAAGAUAAUGAAAAUAAUUAUGCUUUUUUAUGCACAUUAUGCACAGGCAUUUACACUACGCUAAAAUUUAUUUCUCCUAAGAUUACCUUUGUGGGACCAUAAGUGAACUCCGGAAUGCACCAAACCCUAUCCAUGGAAAGAUGGGGAAGAAAUGCAGCGCUAUAGAUAUACGGGAUGCUCUAGAGAUAACAGAAAUGACUUAAAGUUGCAAAUGAUCAAUGACUGUGUUGUCGUCCAAUAUGCUGCACUUAGAAUUGAGUUGUAGGCGAUGUUUGGUGCAAAAUAGAAUGUUUACAUUCUAUUGCCAUGGAGAAAUGGAAUGUGUAGAACCUGUAUAAUUGGGUAUGCUUCUAUGUCUUUAUUUCAUGAAAGAUGAAGCUCUUUAUUAUGUCAUAAUGUGUAUAUGAGGACAGUCCCACAGUUGUGUCAAAUUGUCUUUUGAGUGGUGGACCAUUCUUGAUACACACGGGAGGGAGACUUUGAAGCGUAAAAAAAACAGCAGCGUUGCAGUUCUUGACACAAACUGGUACCCCUGGCACCUACUACCAUGCCCCGUUGAACGGCAUGUAAAUAUUUUGUCUUGCCCAUUCACCCUCUGAAUGGCACACAUUCACAAUCCAUGUCUCAAUUAUCUCAAGCCUUACAAUAUUUUUUUAAAGCUUUCUCCUCCUCUUUAUCUAUACUUAUUUAAGUGGAUUUAACUAGUGACAUCCAUAAGGGAUUAUAGCGUUAACCUGGAUUCAUCUGGUCAGCAUAUGUCUUGGAAAGAGCAGGUGUUCUUAAUGUUUUAUACACUCAGUGUAACUCAUUGGCACUGACAUAAGUUAUUUUCAACCAUUAACUGGGGCCUUGUUGAGGCCUUAUCUAAGUAAGUAAUUGCUGAUUGACAAUAAAGUAUUAUUUUGAUGUAUGGAAAAAAUAUGGUAUGCAAUUCCUAUGUAGAGAAGGUUCUCUCUGGUAGUUGUUCAAUAUGACUUCAACUUUUACAGGGCUUUUUAUUUUUAUUUUUUAUUAACAAAUAUCAUGAAACAAAAGAGGAAUAGUCACAUGCAAACAAGCAUACUAACAAACUAUUUACAUUGCCCGGAAUCCUAAACAAACCAAUCAUAUUCAUUAAUAAUACAAGUUUUAAUUGCCUUUUUGUUUUUACAUUUACAUUUUACAUUUUAGUCAUUUAGCAGACGCUCUUAUCCAGAGCGACUUACAGUAGUGAAUGCAUACAUUUCAUACAAUUUCAUACAUUUAUUUUUUUUUUUCCUGUGCUGGCCCCCCGUGGGAAUCGAACCCACAACCCUGGUGUUGCAAACACCAUGCUCUACCAACUGAGCUACAGGGAAGCAUUCUAGUCAGAGUGCUGCCAUAUUGUUUAAACUCAUUUAUAAAGUUAAAAAGUUAGGUUUUGAAUUAGACCAUUUGUGAAUAUGAAAUUUACCUAGUAUUAUUAGCAGUUGAAUUAAAUAUACUACAUAUUUAUGUCAGAAUUUCUGAAAUAAAGCAUUAUAUCAAAACCAGUAAAUAGUACAACCGGUCCUAUUUUUUUGUAACAAAAUGCUGUAUGCCAAUCCAAAACAUUCUGCUAUAAAUACAGGUAAAAAACAAAUGCAAAAUGGUCUCCUUCUCCAUUCCACAGAAAUCAGUUAUAUUCAGCUUGUCACGCCCUGACCAUAGAGAGCCCUCGGGGUUCUCUAUGGUGUUUUAGGUCAGGGCGUGACUAGGGGGAUUUCUAGGUAUUAUAUAUUUAUGUUGGUGUGUGUGUAUGGUUCCCAAUUGGAGGCAGCUGAUAAUCGUUACCUCUAAUUGGGGAUCAUACUUAGUGUGUCCUUUUUCCCACAUGCGAUGUGGGAUAUAGUUUUGUGUGAGUGCCUAUGUGCGCUACGUGUUUCAUGAUCGUCAUAGCUUUGUUGUUUUUGGAAGUUUCACUAUUAUUAAAAUGUGGAACUCUACUCACACUGUGCCUUGGUCUAAUUAUUCAUACGAGGUCGUGACAGCUUGACUCUUUCCCAAACAUAUUUCACAGGAUAAAUUCUAUGUAACAUUUUAAAUGAAACUUCCUUUACUUUGUUACUGAUACAAUAUUUGUUAGCAAUUUUCCAUGCUUUCCGCCAUUGUAUAUUACCAUAGAUAUCUGCCCAAAAGAAUCUUGCUGAGGGAAUUGUAGUAUCACAAACAAUAUUCCUGAUCUGUUUCUUACAUCAUUUAUCUUUGAUGUUAAUAUUGCCAAUGAAUAUAUUUAUGUAAAUCUAUGUUAUUUACAUCAACCACAGAGGAAUUUAAGAGACAACCCCCCCCCCCUUGGAAUCGCAUCAAAAACAAUUGCAUAUUCUUUCGGGGUUAUUGGAAUCUAAACCAACAACAGAGUCAAAUAAAUACUUAGGGAAGACAUUCCAAAUACUGUUCUUGUCACAGUAUCCAACGAAGGUGGCGCCCCUCCUACGUCGGGCGGCGCUCGGCGGUCGUCGUCCCCGGCCUAUUAGCUCUCACCGAUCUAUGUUUCUGUGUCUUUUGGUUUUGUCUGUCUAUCCCGCACCUGUCUGUCAUUAGUGGGGGGUUAUUUAGUGUGUAUUUUCAGUUUGGGUUCUCGUGCGGUAUUGUUUAUUGUCCACUCAGGACAGUUGUGUGUUUGGCCUGUUUCGCUGGCCUGUGUACGAGUUAUUGCCGGGAUGCGUCCCGUGCGCUUUUCUUCGUGUUUUCUUUUGGGAAUGUGUUUCCCGGGCGGACCUAUUUAAGCGCCCUGUGCCUUUCGGCUAUUGUGUUUUGUUUACCGUGGCAUUAAAACACUGUUGCUCCGGGCCUCUGUCUCCUGCGCCUGAUUCCGCAUCUCCACUGGUCCUAGAAUUCCGUGACAGUUCUGGUCCUUAACAUACUUCAGAAUCCAAUUUCUUUUAAAAGUAUUAUUUAGAGUAUUGAAAUCUAAAACCUCAAUAACUCCUUGUUCUUGGGUAUUAGUGAAAAUAUCUUAUCGUAGAUAGUGAGGCUUGUUCCUCCAAAUACAAUUAUAAAAAAUCUUAUCUAAGUCCUUUACAAUUUUAGGGGGUAAGUCAAUGUCACGUUCUGACCAGUAUGAGGGAUAUUUUGUUAGUGUAGGCUGGUCAGGACGUGGCAGAGGGUAUUUGGUUUAUGUGGUUCGGGGUGUGUGUAUUAUGUAGAGGGUAGUUGAUUUAUGUAUUCCGGGGUUUUUUGGUCACUGCUCUGUUAGACUAUGUUCCUUCUAGUUAGUCUGUUUCUAUGUUUAGUUAAUUGGGGUGUGGACUCUCAAUUGAAGGCAGGUGUUGUCUAGUUGCCUUUGAUUGAGAGUCCUAUAUAUUAGGGUGUGUUUGUAUUUGUAUUUGCGGGAGGUUGUCACUUGAAUUGCUGUCUUGUGCCGUCAAGUCUGUCUUCGGCGUCCAUCGUUUUGUUUUGUUUGUAGCUGCGCCUUGGUCCAUUCCUGACGACCGCCGUUACAGAACCUCCCACCAAAUCCGGACCAAGCAGCGAAGGAAGGAGCAAAAGGUGGACGUUGAGGAGAAAAGGGAAUUUGAGUGUGACCAACGGGAGAAAUGGACAUGGGAAAAGAUUAUGGCCGGAGAGGGCCCAUGGAAAAAAUGGAGCGAAGACCGGGAACGCUACAGGGGAACACGACUGGCUAUUAAACCGGAGAGGCAGCCCCAAUAUUUUUUUUUUGGGGGGGCACACAGGUAGUUUGGCAGGGCCAGGAUUGAGCCGCAAGCCAAAUCCCCGUGCUUAUUGGGGGCAGCCUAGUAUUAGUCAGGUCCCGUGCGUUGGAGUGAGGUGCACGGCGUUGAGGCCUAGAAUUCACAGGCCGGUGUGCGCAGUACCUGCGCCCCGCAUUUGUCUGGGGAAAGCGGGCAUCCAGCCAGGAAGGGUGGAGCCAGUACUGUGCUCGAGACCGCCAGUGCGCCUUCACGGUCCAAUAUAUCCUGUUCCCGCUCCACGCACUAGCCCUAAGGUGUGUGUUUCAAAGCUGGCAUAUCCAGUACCAGCACCACGCACUAGGCUUCCAGUGCGUCAGCCCAGUCCAGUCCAGUACGUCCUGUUCCCGCUCCACGCACUAGCCCUAAGGUGUGUGUUUCCAGGCUGGCAUAUCCAGUACCAGCACCACGCAUCAGGCUUCCAGUGCGUCAGCCCAGUCCAGUACGUCCUGUUCCCGCUCCACGCACUAGCCCUAAGGUGCGUGUCUCCAGUAUGGUACCUCCAUUACCAGCACCACGCACCAGGCUUCAGUGCGUCAGCCCAGUCCAGCACGUCCUGUCCAUGUUCCUCGUACUAGCCAUGUGGUGCGUGUCCUUAGUCUGGCACGUCCUAAGCCAGCCCCACGCACCAGGCCUUCCGGCAACAGUGCCUCGUCCAGGCCUUCCGGCAACAGUGCCUCGUCCAGAACUUCCGGCAACAGUGCCUCGUCCAGAACUUCCGGCAACAGUGCCUCGUCCAGAACUUCCGGCAACAGUGCCUCGUCCAGAGCUUCCGGCGACAGUGCCCCGGAGAGAGACGGCCCACUGUUCGGAACCAGGUGAGACGGCCCACUGUUCAGAGCCGAGUGAGUCU